rnacentral:rRNA from 1 species
GCAAGAGCCCGGAGAUGGAUUCUGAGACACGAAUCCAGGCCCUACGGGGCGCAGCAGGCGCGAAAACUUUGCAAUGCGGGAAACCGUGACAAGGGAACUCUGAGUGCCCGUAAAAUCGGGCUGUCCAUCAGUUUAAACAACUGGUGAAGAAAGGGCCGGGCAAGACCGGUGCCAGCCGCCGCGGUAAUACCGGCGGCUCGAGUGGUGGCCACUAUUACUGGGCUUAAAGCGUUCGUAGCUGGUCUGUUAAGUCCCUGGGGAAAUCUUCCGGCUUAACCGGAAGGCGUCUCAGAGAUACUGGCAGACUAGGGACCGGAAGAGGUGAGAGGUACUCCAGGGGUAGGAGUGAAAUCCUGUAAUCCUUGGGGGACACCUGCGGCGAAGGCGUCUCACUAGAACGGCUCCGACAGUGAGGGACGAAAGCUGGGGGAGCAAACCGGAUUAGAUACCCGGGUAGUCCCAGCUGUAAACGAUGCGCGUUAGGUGUAUCAGUGACCACGAGUUACUGAGGUGCCGAAGAGAAAUCGUGAAACGCGCCGCCUGGGAAGUACGGUCGCAAGGCUGAAACU